rnacentral:rRNA from 1 species
UACGUAGGGUGCGAGCGUUAAUCGGAAUUACUGGGCGUAAAGCGUGCGCAGGCGGUUUGUUAAGACAGAUGUGAAAUCCCCGGGCUUAACCUGGGAACUGCGUUUGUUACUGGCAAGCUAGAGUGUGUCAGAGGGAGGUAGAAUUCCACGUGUAGCAGUGAAAUGCGUAGAUAUGUGGAGGAAUACCGAUGGCGAAGGCAGCCUCCUGGGAUAACACUGACGCUCAUGCACGAAAGCGUGGGGAGCAAACAGG